CCUACGGGGGGCAGCAGUGGGGAAUAUUGCGCAAUGGGCGAAAGCCUGACGCAGCGACGCCGCGUGAGGGAUGAAGGUCUUCGGAGCGUAAACCUCUGUUAGCAGGGAAGAACGGUCACUUUGCUAAUCACCAGUGAAUUGACGGUACCUGCAAAGGAAGCACCGGCUAACUCCGUGCCAGCAGCCGCGGCAAUACGGCGGGGGCGAGCGUUAAUCGGAAUUACUGGGCGUAAAGCGCUCGUAGGCGGUAUGUCAACUCAAGGGUGAAAUCCCCGCGCUCAACGUGGGAACUGCCUUUGAAACUGGCAGACUGGAGUGUGUGAGAGGAAAGUGGAAUUCCAGGUGUAGGGGUGAAAUCCGUAGAUAUCUGGAGGAACAUCAGUGGCGAAGGCGGCUGUCUGGACCGUAACUGACGCUGAGGCGCGAAAGCGUGGGUAGCAAACAGGAUUAGAUACCCGGGUAGUC
rnacentral:rRNA from 1 species